rnacentral:rRNA from 1 species
UGGGGAAUUUUCCGCAAUGAGGGCGAAAGCCUGACGGAGCAAUACCGCGUGAGGGAAGAAGGUCUUUGGAUCGUAAACCUCUUUUCUCAGGGAAGAAGUUCUGACGGUACCUGAGGAAUAAGCCUCGGCUAACUCCGUGCCAGCAGCCGCGGUAAUACGGAGGAGGCAAGCGUUAUCCGGAAUUAUUGGGCGUAAAGCGUUCGCAGGUGGCUCGUCAAGUCUGCUGUCAAAGACCGGAGCUUAACUCCGGGUAGGCGGUGGAAACUGAAGAAGCCAUAGAGUGCGGUAGGGGUAGAGGGAAUUCCCAGUGUAGCGGUGUUGAAAUGCGUAGAGAUUGGGAAGAACACCGGUGGCGAAAGCGCUCUACUAGGCCGCAACUGACACUCAGGGACGAAAGCUAAGGGGGGAGCGAAUGGGAUUAGAUACCCCAGUAGU